CGCUGCCCCUCACUUGGCUGCAACUGGACCCAGAACUAGGGAAGAGGCCAGGGACAGAUUUUUUUUUUUUAUUUUUAUUUUUUUUGCCGAGGGACGUUUCAAAAUUUUGCACGGCCAGGGUGACAAAAAGAGGAUUUAAGAGCCACAAGCGGUCCGCACAUGACCCAGACUUCGUUCCUGUGCGGCUUCCAGAGGUGUUCAUGCAGAAGACUGGAUGCAGGACCCUUGGUGGCACCAGUGUGCAGAUGAGCAGAUAGUGACUGAUUGCCACUGGGAUGAAAUUUUUAAAAAAGAACCUUGAAGUCUGUGAGUGACCAAUCAAAGAUGAAAAUUAAUAAUGGAAGACCUGGGAUAUACAAUCAAGUCUAAAGCCUAGAUAUCUGGUUAUUUUAGAAAAGCUUCAUAGGCAAGUGUCAGUGGAGCUGUGUUAUUUGAGCUGAGCUGCACCUUGAAGAACCAAAAAAAUUAUAAAUGGACAAAUAAGACCAAGUGCCUACACCAAAAGAAUUCUAAUGCUUAGAAGAGUUGCAGAAUAAAAUAUGUUGCAUGGGAUGUCAAUAGUAAAGGUCAAGAUAGAGGACAAAGAAACACAGAGGAAGGAGGUUAAUGGAAUGAGAGAAGAAAGUAUUUUUAGAGGAAGUUGAUAUUUCACCUGAGUUGUAAAAGACUAGACCAAGCAGUAAAAACUGAAUUUUAAUUAUCUACUGGAAAUUCCUCCAGAAUAAAGGGUCUGGUUCAGUUUCUAUAUUGACUCUAUGGGUUCCAGUCUGUGAAAUGCCAAGGGUUGGACUGACUAGAAGUCUCCAGAUUACCUCUCUCUUCUUUCCACCCCUACUGCUUCUUGCCUACCAUAUGCCAUAGUGCCGGCCGGCAAAAUGUACCUGUUUAAUUCUCUAGGCUAUAACAAAAUAUAAUAAACUGGGUACCUUAGAAGCAACGGAAAUUGAUUUCUCAUCGUUCUAGAAGCUAGGAAGUUCACGAUCAAGGUAGCAGCAGAGUUGGUGCCUGCUCUGGAGGCUGGAAAUCCAACAACAGAGUGCCAGCAUGAUCAGGUUCUGGAGAGGACCCUCUUCCUGUUUGCAGACUGCUGACUUCUUAUUGUAUAUUCCAAUGGUAGAAAGAGAGCAAGAGAACUCUCUGGAGUCUUUUUUUUAUAAGGGUGCUAACCCCAUUUAAGGAGGUUUCCCCUCAUAAUCUAAUUAUCUCUCAAAAGCCAUACCUUUCAACACCAUUGCAUUGAAGGUAUGCUCACUCUUUCACUAACCUUGAGAGACAUUGUCAGAUGUGCAUAAGGGAAGAACAUGAAGGACGACGGAUAAACUGUACACAGACACAGCACAUGGAGUCUGAGUCAUUUGUUUUCUCUGACAGAUCUUUACCAUGCUGGAUUGGAAGAGAAAAGACCAUCACUAAAGCAAAUGGAUCAAAUGGAGUUAUAAAUCAACUCUGUACUCUACAGGAUUGACUCAACUGCAGACAUCUCCAAUACACUCCCUCAUGGCUUUAUUUUUUCUGCUUAUGUGGAAAAAUAACAGUAAAUACAGUUAACUAUCCCAAGACAGAAGAGUAUUAUUAAAAAAGAAUACAACGUUAUUGAUUUUUCAAGACAUAAUCAGAUAUUUUUAAACUCUGAUUUAAUAAAACAUAAUGUAAUUUC
rnacentral:lncRNA from 1 species